AGUGAACGCUGGCGGUAGGCUUAACACAUGCAAGUCGAACGGUAGCACAGUAAGAGCUUGCUCUUACGGGUGGCGAGUGGCGGACGGGUGAGGAAUACAUCGGACUCUACUUUUUCGUGGGGGAUAACGUAGGGAAACUUACGCUAAUACCGCCUACGACCUACGGGUGAAAGCAGGGGAUCUUCGGACCUUGCGCGAUUGAAUGAGCCGAUGUCGGAUUAGCUAGUUGGCGGGGUAAAGGCCCACCAAGGCGACGAUCCGUAGCUGGUCUGAGAGGAUGAUCAGCCAAACUGGAACUGAGACACGGUCCAGACUCCUAGGGGAGGCAGCAGUGGGGAAUAUUGGACAAUGGGCGCAAGCCUGAACCAGCCAUACAGCGUGGGUGAAGAAGGCAUUCGGGUUGUAAAGCCCUUUUGUUGGGAAAGAAAAGCAGAAGGUGAAUAACCCGCUGUUCUGACGGUACCCAAAGAAUAAGCACCGGCUAACUUCGUG
rnacentral:rRNA from 1 species